rnacentral:rRNA from 1 species
AGCGAACGCUGGCGGCAGGCUUAACACAUGCAAGUCGAACGGAUCCUUCGGGAUUAGUGGCGGACGGGUGAGUAACACGUGGGAACGUGCCUUUUGGUUCGGAACAACACAGGGAAACUUGUGCUAAUACCGGAUGUGCCCUUCGGGGAAAGAUUUAUCGCCAUUAGAGCGGCCCGCGUCUGAUUAGCUAGUUGGUGAGGUAAAGGCUCACCAAGGCUACGAUCAGUAGCUGGUCNGAGAGGAUGAUCAGCCACACUGGGACUGAGACACGGCCCAGACUCCUACGGGAGGCAGCAGUGGGGAAUCUUGCGCAAUGGGGGAAACCCUGACGCAGCCAUGCCGCGUGAAUGAUGAAGGUCUUAGGAUUGUAAAAUUCUUUCAGCGGGGACGAUAAUGACGGUACCCG